CUGCCCAUCGGGGCAUGGAUACCUGCUUAAUUUUU
rnacentral:ncRNA from 1 species